rnacentral:rRNA from 1 species
UACGAAGGGUGCUAGCGUUGUUCGGAAUUACUGGGCGUAAAGCGCGCGUAGGCGGCUUGUCAAGUCAGGGGUGAAAUCCGGCAGCUUAACUGUCGCAGUGCCUUUGAUACUGUGGAGCUAGAGGGAGGUAGGGGUCUGUGGAACUUCCGGUGGAGCGGUGAAAUGCGUUGAUAUCGGAAGGAACGCCGGUGGCGAAAGCGACGGACUGGAUCUCUUCUGACGCUGAGGCGCGAAAGCCAGGGGAGCAAACGGG